UUUAGUUGUUGAGUCGUGUCCGACUCUUCGUGACCCCAUGGACCAGAGCACACCAGGUCCAUGGGGUCACGAAGAGUCGGACACGACUA